UUUGACAAGAGGAAAAAAUACCUUAAGAGCGGCCCUUCACCUCUCGCCAAAAAGCCUUAGAAAGGAUAAUAUCUGUCACCUUUUUCCCAACUUGAUCCUUGGACCACUUGCAUGCUCUCCAGUCAUCCGAGGUAAACAUUUGCCUUAACUGCACUCUCCUCGAAUGUAUGUUAUCUUGGCAAAAGUACCAGGUCGCAAAUCUUGUGACCCCAGGCUUCACAAUCUCUUUCUUCCAUGUAAAUCUACGCAUCAUGCUGAGGGUGGGAUGGUGGCCAUAAAUGAAAUUUGUAAUUGACUUUUCCUUCUUCACUGCACUUGAUAUCUCGGUUAAACCGCUAAGAGCCUCAAGCAUGAGGUCUAUAUAAUGUGCUGCACA
rnacentral:lncRNA from 1 species